rnacentral:rRNA from 1 species
CAGCAGCCGCGGGAAUACGGAGGGUGCAAGCGUUAAUCGGAAUUACUGGGCGUAAAGCGUGCGUAGGUGGUGGUUUAAGUCCGUUGUGAAAGCCCUGGGCUCAACCUGGGAAUUGCAGUGGAUACUGGGUCACUAGAGUGUGGUAGAGGAUAGUGGAAUUUCCGGUGUAGCAGUGAAAUGCGUAGAGAUCGGAAGGAACAUCUGUGGCGAAGGCGACUAUCUGGGCCAACACUGACACUGAGGCACGAAAGCGUGGGGAGCAAACAGGAUUAGAUACCCCCGUAGUCCCUGUCUCUUAUAC